GCAACGAAAUAGCUCAGUUGGGAGAGCGUUAGACUAUAGAUCGAAAGGUCCCUGGUUCGAUCCCAGGAUUCGGCA
rnacentral:tRNA from 1 species